UACGGAGGGUGCAAGCGUUAUCCGGAUUUACUGGGUUUAAAGGGUGCGUAGGUGGGUAGGUAAGUCAGUGGUGAAAUCUUCGAGCUUAACUCGGAAACUGCCAUUGAUACUAUCUGUCUUGAAUACUUUGGAGGUAAGCGGAAUAUGUCAUGUAGCGGUGAAAUGCUUAGAUAUGACAUAGAACACCAAUUGCGAAGGCAGCUUACUACACAGUUAUUGACACUGAGGCACGAAAGCGUGGGGAGCAAACAGG
rnacentral:rRNA from 1 species